CCUACGGGAGGCAGCAGUGGGGAAUAUUGGACAAUGGGCGAAAGCCUGAUCCAGCCAUGCCGCGUGUGUGAAGAAGGUCUUCGGAUUGUAAAGCACUUUAAGUUGGGAGGAAGGGCAGUAAAUUAAUACUUUGCUGUUUUGACGUUACCGACAGAAUAAGCACCGGCUAACUCUGUGCCAGCAGCCGCGGUAAUACAGAGGGUGCAAGCGUUAAUCGGAAUUACUGGGCGUAAAGCGCGCGUAGGUGGUUCGUUAAGUUGGAUGUAAAAUCCCCGGGCUCAACCUGGGAACUGCAUUCAAAACUGACGAGCUAGAGUAUGGUAGAGGGUGGUGGAAUUUCCUGUGUAGCGGUAAAAUGCGUAGAUAUAGGAAGGAACACCAGUGGCGAAGGCGACCACCGGGACUGAUACUGACACUGAGGUGCGAAAGCGUGGGGAGCAAACAGGAUUAGAUCCCCCUGUAGU
rnacentral:rRNA from 1 species